rnacentral:snoRNA from 1 species
GUGGCUGGUGAUGAGGACUUUUCCACUUGUGUUCGAGCUUCCCGGCCAUGAGAUGACUGCACAUGCACUACCAUCUGAGGCCAC